GGGACACGUGGUAUCCUGUCUGAAUAUGGGGGGACCAUCCUCCAAGGCUAAAUACUCCUGACUGACCGAUAGUGAACCAGUACCGUGAGGGAAAGGCGAAAAGAACCCCGGCGAGGGGAGUGAAAAAGAACCUGAAACCGUGUACGUACAAGCAGUGGGAGCCUCUUAAUGGGGUGACUGCGUACCUUUUGUAUAAUGGGUCAGCGACUUAUAUUCUGUAGCAAGGUUAACCGAAUAGGGGAGCCGAAGGGAAACCGAGUCUUAACUGGGCGUUAAGUUGCAGGGUAUAGACCCGAAACCCGGUGAUCUAGCCAUGGGCAGGUUGAAGGUUGGGUAACACUAACUGGAGGACCGAACCGACUAAUGUUGAAAAAUUAGCGGAUGACUUGUGGCUGGGGGUGAAAGGCCAAUCAAACCGGGAGAUAGCUGGUUCUCCCCGAAAGCUAUUUAGGUAGCGCCUCGUGAAUUCAUCUCCGGGGGUAGAGCACUGUUUCGGCAAGGGGGUCAUCCCGACUUACCAACCCGAUGCAAACUGCGAAUACCGGAGAAUGUUAUCACGGGAGACACACGGCGGGUGCUAACGUCCGUCGUGAAGAGGGAAACAACCCAGACCGCCAGCUAAGGUCCCAAAGUCAUGGUUAAGUGGGAAACGAUGUGGGAAGGCCCAGACAGCCAGGAUGUUGGCUUAGAAGCAGCCAUCAUUUAAAGAAAGCGUAAUAGCUCACUGGUCGAGUCGGCCUGCGCGGAAGAUGUAACGGGGCUAAACCAUGCACCGAAGCUGCGGCAGCGACACUAUGUGUUGUUGGGUAGGGGAGCGUUCUGUAAGCCUGUGAAGGUGUACUGUGAGGUAUGCUGGAGGUAUCAGAAGUGCGAAUGCUGACAUAAGUAACGAUAAAGCGGGUGAAAAGCCCGCUCGCCGGAAGACCAAGGGUUCCUGUCCAACGUUAAUCGGGGCAGGGUGAGUCGACCCCUAAGGCGAGGCCGAAAGGCGUAGUCGAUGGGAAACAGGUUAAUAUUCCUGUACUUGGUGUUACUGCGAAGGGGGGACGGAGAAGGCUAUGUUGGCCGGGCGACGGUUGUCCCGGUUUAAGCGUGUAGGCUGGUUUUCCAGGCAAAUCCGGAAAAUCAAGGCUGAGGCGUGAUGACGAGGCACUACGGUGCUGAAGCGACAAAUGCCCUGCUUCCAGGAAAAGCCUCUAAGCAUCAGGUAACAUCAAAUCGUACCCCAAACCGACACAGGUGGUCAGGUAGAGAAUACCAAGGCGCUUGAGAGAACUCGGGUGAAGGAACUAGGCAAAAUGGUGCCGUAACUUCGGGAGAAGGCACGCUGAUAUGUAGGUGAAGCGACUUGCUCGUGGAGCUGAAAUCAGUCGAAGAUACCAGCUGGCUGCAACUGUUUAUUAAAAACACAGCACUGUGCAAACACGAAAGUGGACGUAUACGGUGUGACGCCUGCCCGGUGCCGGAAGGUUAAUUGAUGGGGUUAGCGGUAACGCGAAGCUCUUGAUCGAAGCCCCGGUAAACGGCGGCCGUAACUAUAACGGUCCUAAGGUAGCGAAAUUCCUUGUCGGGUAAGUUCCGACCUGCACGAAUGGCGUAAUGAUGGCCAGGCUGUCUCCACCCGAGACUCAGUGAAAUUGAACUCGCUGUGAAGAUGCAGUGUACCCGCGGCAAGACGGAAAGACCCCGUGAACCUUUACUAUAGCUUGACACUGAACAUUGAGCCUUGAUGUGUAGGAUAGGUGGGAGGCUUUGAAGUGUGGACGCCAGUCUGCAUGGAGCCGACCUUGAAAUACCACCCUUUAAUGUUUGAUGUUCUAACGUGGGCCCCUUACCGGGGUUGCGGACAGUGUCUGGUGGGUAGUUUGACUGGGGCGGUCUCCUCCUAAAGAGUAACGGAGGAGCACGAAGGUUGGCUAAUCCUGGUCGGACAUCAGGAGGUUAGUGCAAUGGCAUAAGCCAGCUUGACUGCGAGCGUGACGGCGCGAGCAGGUGCGAAAGCAGGUCAUAGUGAUCCGGUGGUUCUGAAUGGAAGGGCCAUCGCUCAACGGAUAAAAGGUACUCCGGGGAUAACAGGCUGAUACCGCCCAAGAGUUCAUAUCGACGGCGGUGUUUGGCACCUCGAUGUCGGCUCAUCACAUCCUGGGGCUGAAGUAGGUCCCAAGGGUAUGGCUGUUCGCCAUUUAAAGUGGUACGCGAGCUGGGUUUAGAACGUCGUGAGACAGUUCGGUCCCUAUCUGCCGUGGGCGCUGGAGAACUGAGGGGGGCUGCUCCUAGUACGAGAGGACCGGAGUGGACGCAUCACUGGUGUUCGGGUUGUCAUGCCAAUGGCACUGCCCGGUAGCUAAAUGCGGAAGAGAUAAGUGCUGAAAGCAUCUAAGCACGAAACUUGCCCCGAGAUGAGUUCUCCCUGACUCCUUGAGAGUCCUGAAGGAACGUUGAAGACGACGACGUUGAUAGGCCGGGUGUGUAAGCGCAGCGAUGCGUUGAGCUAACCGGUACUAAUGAACCGUGAGGCUUAACCUUACAACGCCGAAG
rnacentral:rRNA from 3 species